UUGUGGGUUCAUCAUGCCGUCACGGUGGAAUGAAAGUGAACAUCUAGGUGCACCAUUUCCGUAUGAGUUCUCGAGCCUCACGGUUUCGGAACGGGUUCAGUCCUCUAGUGGAUGAGCUACUUCCGAGACCCACCUUCUCUCGUCUUGAAAGGGGUGUUAGAUGAGGUUGAUUUUAAGUAGAUAAGCUGCCCACCCACUAAAUUUACGUGUAUUAGAUACUGUUCCAUAGAAAUAUCUAUUCAAAUAGCGUGAUGGGUGAAGAUGAAGAUGGAAGGCCACCCAAGCCUUCUACAUUGACCCGGGGAUAUCAUGGUACUGCAAUUCCAUAUGGCCCGCCAUAUAUGAUGCCUACAUAUCAAAAUCCAUAUUCUUAUACUUGGGGUAGCCAGCAUUUCGCAAUGCCACCCUUUGGGCCAACCAUGCCAUACCUUAUGUCGAGUAAUUUGGAGGAGCUGAGAGGAGGUGAAGAUACAACCCAAGUAGCUAUUUAAGGUCACUUUUUAUGGUUUAUCUUGUACCUCCGUAUUUCUUUAGUAAAUAACACAAUAAGGAAAAUACAGCAUUCAGCAAUGCCUCAUGACGAACCAACUAUGCGAAAUCCAAAUUUUCCAAGUGGUUCAUCAUCUAUGCAAUUUAGUGUUGAAAGUGAAAAGAAUGUUCGAGGUACACUUUUCACUUUAUUAUAUUAACAUCCUAUGUAUAUAAAAUCCAAGUUUUUCCUAACCUUGUCCCAUUUCCUUUUCAGAAACUUCACCCGACAUAAAUUUGUAAUCCCCAAAGCGGAAGAGAUGUUUGAAGAUUCAGACGAAGAUAAUAAAGUUGAGCCUCCGAAAGCUGGUAUGAAAUUUGGGUCUGAUAAAAAGGUUUUAGUGUACUACAAACGAUAUGCCAAACAAGAGGGUUUUGGUGUUAUUAUAAGAAGGAUGAAGAGAGAUAUAGAUGGGAGUGCAAAGUAUGUGACGAUUUCGUGUGCAAGUGGCGGCAAGUACUAUCCUAGUGUCGAUCGCAAUUUAUCAAAGCCACGGCCGACGACAAAAAUGGAUUGUAAGGCGAAGGUUAAUGCUUGCCUUGUGAAUGGGGAAUGUGUGUUGACCAGUGUCGAUCUUGUUCAGAAUCAUAGUACUGUUAGCCCUAAAAAAUUCCAAUUUUUUAGAUCUCACAAAAAUUUAGAUGAAUACAGUCAGAAGAUGCUCAACUUGAAUGAUAGAGUAGGUAUUCAAAUGCAUAAAAAUUUCAAUGCACUUGUGACUGAAGCUGGGGGUAUGAGAACUUGGAUUUCCAAGAGAAAGAUUGUAAAAAUUUUAUUGACAGAGCUAGAGUUUUGAGAAUGGGUAAAGGAGGUGGGGAAGCACUGAACGAAUAUUUUAAGAGAAUGAGGAAAAUGAAUGAUGGCUUUGUGUCCGUCAUGGAUGUGGAUGAUGAGUUUAGAGUUAGGAAUGUCUUUUGGGUUGAUGCAAGAAGUCGAGCAGCAUAUGAGUAUUUUGGAGAUGUGAUCACGUUCAAUAGGACGUACCUCACAAAUAGGUAUGGAAUGCCCUUUGCUCCCUUUUUCGGUGUUAAUCAUCACGGACAGUCCAUACUUUUAGGGGCAGGCUUAAUUUCUAGCGAGGAUACAAGUACUUUCAUCUGGUUGUUUGAAGCAUGGUUAGAAUGCAUGAAUGGACGGGCACCCCAAGCAAUCAUAACAGACCAAGACAGGGCAAUGAAGAAUGCCAUUGGAGUAGUAUUCCCGAACACAAAGCAUAGAUAUUGUCUAUAAUGCGGAAACUGCCUGAAAAAUUGGGAUCCCACGCAGAAUACAACGGGUUGAAGACUGCCAUUCAGAAUGCAGUCUAUGAUACACAGAGUUGCCAAGAAUUUGAGGAGAAAUGGGGGCAGCUAAUGCAUAACUAUGAUCUUACUGAUAAUGCAUGGUUGCAAGGGUUGUACAUCGAGAGAUCAUUUUGGGACCAGUUUAUUUGAAAGGUGUAUUCUGGGCUGGCUUGAGCACUACCCAACGUUCUGAAAGCAUGAAUGCCUUUUUCGACAGAUUUGUACAUUCCGGUACGACCUUAAAAGAAAUUGUCGAUCAGUUCGACAAUGCUUUGAGGAAGAAGGUGGAGACGGAGACAACAGCUGAUUUCCAAUCCUGUAUCCAAACGAUCCCAUGUGUUUCACCAUUCAAAAUUGAGAGGCAGUUUCAGUCAUGUUACACGAAUGCAAAAUUUAAAGAGAUCCAGGUAGAGGUUUUGGGGAUGCUUUUAUGUAACCUUUCAGUUGUCAGCACACAAGGUAGCAUUUCUACCUUCGAUGUUUUUGAAGAAAUUUCCACCCCCGAUGGACAGUCCAAAAUUUUGAAGUAUCUAGUUUACUUGAAUGAAUAGGAAUUCGAAGAUAAAUGCACUUGUGCCCUGUUUGAGAUGAGGGAGAUUAUUUGUAGGCAUGCAUUUAAAGUAUGUCAGAUAAAGUACAUUCAUGAUUUGCUAGAGAAAUAUGUGUUGGACCGAUGGCGGAAGGAUACAAAGAGAAGAUACACACUGGUUAAGAGUAGCUAUGAUGAUUGUGGGGUCAAUGCAGAUGCACGUCGGUAUGAGCUUGUUGUUAAAAGAUGUAUAAGAUUUGCGACCUGUAUAUCGCGAAAUGAUGAGCAUGUGAAUGCAUUCUUCCAAUUUUUGGAUGAGUUUGAGCAAAAGUUGGUAGGUGUAGAGCCUGUCACCUAUUCAACAAAGGUGACAGAGAAUGUGAACGCCGCUAGGGGUAAGAAAAUUUUUUAAAUCCACAUGUUGUUCGGGGGAAAUGGAGGCCGCCAACGCCAAGAAAGGUCCCGAUAGUCAAGAAGGCUGCUGGGAAGAGGAAGAGGAAACAUGUAUUUCACAUCUUGGUUCGUCAGUUGUGAGGUUUUUGAAUUGCAUACAUUUGGGUUCCUAAUAUAUGUUAUUUUCUGUUUUCCAAUUUAGGUAAAGAGGAAAAUAUUUGAUGAUGAAUCACAAAAAGUCGACCAAACGGUGUUAGAAGUUGGUGCUACUGUUGACGAGAAUGUGAUCCCAACCCAGUGUAGUAAUUUAACACAAGUAACGCCACUAGCCAAUGAUCAGGCUAUGCCAAGCUUGCCCCAUGAUACUUAGCAUUGGAUAGUGUAUGUGUAUUUUGGAGAUAAAAGAUGUAUUGUGAACUGUGGUGGGAGAUAGAGAUUGGAGCAACAAAUUUUGUCAACUAUGGUAAGCGGGAGAAAUGUCGAGAAUGUGGUAUUUAAGUUUUAAUUUUCUGCAAUACACCAAUUUAGAAUUUUCAGAUAGUUUUUUAAUGUUUUGUUUUGCUUCAGUUGCAUUAUUUUAAUCUCCUAAAAUAGCAUAUAUAUAUAAUCCAAUUUAUCUUUAGCACAUCCAAGAACUCCCUUGGUGUUGGUAACGGGGAUUUUCGCUCUUUUAACAUAUUUGUGGUUGUGCACAUGCAGUUUUGUAUGGGGGUAGAGAAUGAUCAUCAUCAUUGUCGGGUCUACUACCUUUGAAAUUUGGAGAGUGUAGCGAAUAUUAUCUCGGCGUCUGAGCCAUACGGAGUGAAACAUAACAUACCAUUGAAACAGAUAUUUUAUUUAUUGGGAUUUAGAAGCUUGACUUCUAAAACCAUUGUGCUUUCUAAUUAUUUUGUUAUGAAUGUGAAAUAUUUAUUUGAAAGUUUAUUAUAUAUGUGUAGGAACACCACUAACUUGAAAUAUUUGCAUUUAAUAUCUUGCAGGGACUAUUAGCAGAUGGUAUUCGGUUAUUUUGAUCCUACUCAACAGUGUAGGGAAUGUGUAUGUAUUUUGGCAAUUUUUUGGAGGGUAUGGCAUAGGAGUUGAAAGGAGAAUCACUUUUGUUAGUGUAUUUUGAAAGAAGAAUCACUUUUGUGAAGGAAGUUGAAAGGAGAAUCACAGGUGUAAAGGAAUUUGUAUAUGAAAAUGUGAAAUAUUUAUUUGUAAAUUCAUGGUUGUAUAUGAAGUGAAACAAAUAUUUGUAAAUAAAAAUGUAUAUGAAGUGGAACAUGUGAAUGCAGCAGGUAGUUCAUCAUUUGGUAAUAAGUUACAAAUAAAUAGCAUAGAUAUUGAAUGGUACAGCACUACUAGGUUGAAAUACUUGCUAUUUGGAUGCUUAUGUAAAUUCUGUAUGUUUGGUGGUUGCUGAACAUAACA